GCCUCUUUAUAAAUCACUGGUAAGACCCCAUAUUGAAUAUGCUGUGCAAUUUUGGGCACCUGUUCUAAAGAAGGCUAUUAUGGCACUAGAAAAAGUGCAGAGGCAGGCUACAAAAUUAAUAAAAGGUAUGGAACAUAUCAGCUAUGAAGAAAGAUUAACGAAUUUAAACCUAUUUAGUUUAGAAAAACGUCGCCUGAGAGGGGAUAUGAUAACAUUAUACAAA